UGAGAUGGGGAGGAGUGGGGGCCAUGUUGUUCUUAGAAUGAGAUGGGGAGGGAGUGGGGGCCAUGUUGUUCUUAGAAUGAGAUGGGGAGGUAGUGGGGGCCAUGUUGUUCUUAGAAUGAGAUGGGGAGGGAGUGGGGGCCAUGUUGUUCUUAGAAUGAGAUGGGGAGGUAGUGGGGGCCAUGUUGUUCUUAGAAUGAGAUGGGGAGGUAGUGGGGGCCAUGUUGUUCUUAGAAUGAGAUGGGGAGGGAGUGGGGGCCAUGUUGUUCUUAGAAUGAGAUGGGGAGGGAGGGAGUGGGUGCCAUGUUGUUCUUAGAAUGAGAUGGGGAGGGAGUGGGUGCCAUGUUGUUCUUAGAAUGAGAUGGGGAGGGAGUGGGGGCCAUGUUGUUCUUAGAAUGAGAUGGGGAGGGAGUGGGGGCCAUGUUGUUCUUAGAAUGAGAUGGGGAGGGAGUGGGGG
ensembl:lncRNA